rnacentral:rRNA from 1 species
GGUAUUAGUUUUUUUAUCAGGUCAGGACGAACGCUGGCGGCGUGCCUAAUACAUGCAAGUAGAACGCUGAAGAGAGGAGCUUGCUCUUCUUGGAUGAGUUGCGAACGGGUGAGUAACGCGUAGGUAACCUGCCUUGUAGCGGGGGAUAACUAUUGGAAACGAUAGCUAAUACCGCAUAACAAUGGAUGACACAUGUCAUUUAUUUGAAAGGGGCAAUUGCUCCACUACAAGAUGGACCUGCGUUGUAUUAGCUAGUAGGUGAGGUAAUGGCUCACCUAGGCGACGAUACAUAGCCGACCUGAGAGGGUGAUCGGCCACACUGGGACUGAGACACGGCCCAGACUCCUACGGGAGGCAGCAGUAGGGAAUCUUCGGCAAUGGGGGCAACCCUGACCGAGCAACGCCGCGUGAGUGAAGAAGGUUUUCGGAUCGUAAAGCUCUGUUGUAAGUCAAGAACGGGUGUGAGAGUGGAAAGUUCACACUGUGACGGUAGCUUACCAGAACGGGACGGCUAACUACGUGCCAGCAGCCGCGGUAAUACGUAGGUCCCGAGCGUUGUCCGGAUUUAUUGGGCGUAAAGCGAGCGCAGGCGGUUUGAUAAGUCUGAAGUUAAAGGCUGUGGCUCAACCAUAGUUCGCUUUGGAAACUGUCAAACUUGAGUGCAGAAGGGGAGAGUGGAAUUCCAUGUGUAGCGGUGAAAUGCGUAGAUAUAUGGAGGAACACCGGUGGCGAAAGCGGCUCUCUGGUCUGUAACUGACGCUGAGGCUCGAAAGCGUGGGGAGCGAACAGGAUUAGAUACCCUGGUAGUCCACGCCGUAAACGAUGAGUGCUAGGUGUUGGAUCCUUUCCGGGAUUCAGUGCCGCAGCUAACGCAUUAAGCACUCCGCCUGGGGUGUCACGACCGCAAGGUUGAAACUCAAAGGAAUUGACGGGGGCCCGCACAAGCGGUGGAGCAUGUGGUUUAAUUCGAAGCAACGCGAAGAACCUUACCAGGUCUUGACAUCCCGAUGCUAUUUCUAGAGAUAGAAAGUUACUUCGGUACAUCGGUGACAGGUGGUGCAUGGUUGUCGUCAGCUCGUGUCGUGAGAUGUUGGGUUAAGUCCCGCAACGAGCGCAACCCCUAUUGUUAGUUGCCAUCAUUCAGUUGGGCACUCUAGCGAGACUGCCGGUAAUAAACCGGAGGAAGGUGGGGAUGACGUCAAAUCAUCAUGCCCCUUAUGACCUGGGCUACACACGUGCUACAAUGGUUGGUACAACGAGUUGCGAGUCGGUGACGGCGAGCUAAUCUCUUAAAGCCAAUCUCAGUUCGGAUUGUAGGCUGCAACUCGCCUACAUGAAGUCGGAAUCGCUAGUAAUCGCGGAUCAGCACGCCGCGGUGAAUACGUUCCCGGGCCUUGUACACACCGCCCGUCACACCACGAGAGUUUGUAACACCCGAAGUCGGUGAGGUAACCUUUUGGAGCCAGCCGCCUAAGGUGGGACAGAUGAUUGGGGUGAGCGAGGGGGGAGCCAAAAAA